UUAAGUUAGAAAGGGCGCACGGUGGAUGCCUUGGCACUAGGAGCCGAAGAAGGACGGGACUAACACCGAUAUGCUUUGGGGAGCUGUACGUAAGCGUUGAUCCAGAGAUUUCCGAAUGGGGGAACCCACUAUCUUUAGUCGGAUAGUAUCCUUACGUGAAUACAUAGCGUGAGGAAGGCAGACCCAGGGAACUGAAACAUCUAAGUACCUGGAGGAAGAGAAAGAAAAAUCGAUUUCCUGAGUAGCGGCGAGCGAAACGGAAAGAGCCCAAACCAAGAAGCUUGCUUCUUGGGGUUGUAGGACACUCUAUACGGAGUUACAAAAGAAAGUUAUAAAUGAAGCGGUCUGGAAAGGCCCGCCAAAGACGGUAACAGCCCGGUAGUUGAAAUGGCUUUCCCUCCAGAGUGGAUCCUGAGUACGGCGGAACACGUGAAAUUCCGUCGGAAUCCGGGAGGACCAUCUCCCAAGGCUAAAUACUCCCUAGUGACCGAUAGUGAACCAGUACCGUGAGGGAAAGGUGAAAAGCACCCCGGAAGGGGAGUGAAACAGUUCCUGAAACCGUGUGCCUACAAGUAGUUAGAGCCCGUUAAUGGGUGAUAGCGUGCCUUUUGUAGAAUGAACCGGCGAGUUACGAUUUGUUGCAAGGUUAAGCGGAAAAAGCGGAGCCGUAGCGAAAGCGAGUCUGAAUAGGGCGCAUAAGUAACAGGUCGUAGACCCGAAACCAGGUGAUCUACCCAUGUCCAGGAUGAAGGUAAGGUAAUACUUACUGGAGGUCCGAACCCACGCACGUUGAAAAGUGCGGGGAUGAGGUGUGGGUAGCGGAGAAAUUCCAAUCGAACUUGGAGAUAGCUGGUUCUCUCCGAAAUAGCUUUAGGGCUAGCCUCGAGGUAAAGAGUCAUGGAGGUAGAGCACUGUUUGGACUAGGGGCCCUUCUCGGGUUACCGAAUUCAGAUAAACUCCGAAUGCCAUGUACUUAUACUCGGGAGUCAGACUGCGAGUGAUAAGAUCCGUAGUCGAAAGGGAAACAGCCCAGACCACCAGUUAAGGUCCCCAAAUAUAUGUUAAGUGGAAAAGGAUGUGGGGUUGCUUAGACAACCAGGAUGUUGGCUUAGAAGCAGCCACCAUUGAAAGAGUGCGUAAUAGCUCACUGGUCGAGUGACCCCGCGCCGAAAAUGUACCGGGGCUAAACAUAUUACCGAAACUGUGGAUGAACCUCUUUAGAGGUUCGUGGUAGGAGAGCGUUCUAAGGGCGGUGAAGUCAGACCGGAAGGACUGGUGGAGCGCUUAGAAGUGAGAAUGCCGGUAUGAGUAGCGAAAGAAGGGUGAGAAUCCCUUCCACCGAAUAUCUAAGGUUUCCUGAGGAAGGCUCGUCCGCUCAGGGUUAGUCGGGACCUAAGCCGAGGCCGAUAGGCGUAGGCGAUGGACAACAGGUAGAGAUUCCUGUACCAGUGCUAAUUGUUUAACCGAUGGGGUGACACAGAAGGAUAGGGAAUCGCACGAAUGGAAAUGUGCGUCCAAGCAGUGAGUGUGAGAAGUAGGCAAAUCCGCUUCUCGCGAAGCAUGAGCUGUGAUGGGGAAGGAAAUUAAGUACGGAAGUUCCUGAUUUCACGCUGUCAAGAAAAGCCUCUAGGAAGAGUAGUACUGCCCGUACCGCAAACCGACACAGGUAGAUGAGGAGAGAAUCCUAAGGUGAGCGAGAGAACUCUCGUUAAGGAACUCGGCAAAAUGACCCCGUAACUUCGGGAGAAGGGGUGCUCUAUUAGGGUGCAAGCCCGAGAGAGCCGCAGUGAAUAGGCCCAGGCGACUGUUUAGCAAAAACACAGGUCUCUGCAAAACCGUAAGGUGACGUAUAGGGGCUGACGCCUGCCCGGUGCUGGAAGGUUAAGAGGAGUGCUUAGCUUCGGCGAAGGUACGAAUUGAAGCCCCAGUAAACGGCGGCCGUAACUAUAACGGUCCUAAGGUAGCGAAAUUCCUUGUCGGGUAAGUUCCGACCCGCACGAAAGGCGCAACGAUCUGGGCACUGUCUCAACGAGAGACUCGGUGAAAUUAUAGUACCUGUGAAGAUGCAGGUUACCCGCGACAGGACGGAAAG
rnacentral:rRNA from 1 species